rnacentral:ribozyme from 1 species
GAAACUUGAACAGAGAGAUACAGAGAGAGACAGAGAAAGACACACACAGAGAGAGAAAAAGAAUCAGCGUUGGUCAGAAACCUAGAACGUUAACACAUUUCAUUUUCACGUGUAUUUUCAUUUUCAUUUUCAUUUUCAAUU